rnacentral:rRNA from 1 species
AGCGAACGCUGGCGGCAGGCUUAACACAUGCAAGUCGAGCGGGCGUAGCAAUACGUCAGCGGCAGACGGGUGAGUAACGCGUGGGAACGUACCUUUUGGUUCGGAACAACACAGGGAAACUUGUGCUAAUACCGGAUAAGCCCUUACGGGGAAAGAUUUAUCGCCGAAAGAUCGGCCCGCGUCUGAUUAGCUAGUUGGUGAGGUAAUGGCUCACCAAGGCGACGAUCAGUAGCUGGUCGAGAGGAUGAUCAGCCACAUUGGGACUGAGACACGGCCCAAACUCCUACGGGAGGCAGCAGUGGGGAAUAUUGGACAAUGGGCNCAAGCCUGAUCCAGCCAUGCCGCGUGAGUGAUGAA